UGCAGGGUGAAAAAGGGAAGCAAGGACCUCAAGGAGAAGAUGGUUCACCAGCUGAUGGGGAUCUACUGUUGUUGGAAGGAGAGAAAGGAGACAUGGGUCCACCUGGAGAGGAAGGAGAUCGAGGCGAAUUUGAAAUUGUUACUCCACCUGAAAAAGAUAUUCC